ensembl:lncRNA
GGAGUGAGUGGGAACGUGCCGGCCACUGGAUAGGAGGAGUGAGUGGGAACUCUCAGGCCACUGGAUAGGAGGAGUGAGUGGGAACAUGCAGGCCAUCUGAUAGGAGGAGUGAGUGGGAACAUGCAGGCCACUGGAUAGGAGGAGUGAGUGGGAACAUGCUCCCGGAUAGGAGGAGUGAGUGGGAACGUGCAGGCCACCUGAUAGGAGGAGUGAGUGGGAACGUGCAGGCCAUCUGAUAGGAGGAGUGAGUGGGAACGUGCAGGCCAUCUGAUAGGAGGAGUGAUGGGAACGUGCAGGCCAUCUGAUAGGAGGAGUGAGUGGGAACGUGCAGGCCAUCUGAUAGGAGGAGUGAUGGGAACAUGCAGGCCAUCUGAUAGGAGGAGUGAGUGGGAACGUGCAGGCCAUCUGAUAGGAGGAGUGAGUGGGAACGUGCAGGCCAUCUGAUAGGAGGAGUGAGUGGGAACAUGCAGGCCACUGGAUAGGAGGAGUGAUGGGAACAUGCAGGCCAUCUGAUAGGAGGAGUGAGUGGGAACAUGCAGGCCACUGGAUAGGAGGAGUGAGUGGGAACAUGCAGGCCACUGGAUAGGAGGAGUGAUGGGAACGUGCAGGCCACUGGAUAGGAGGAGGAUGGGAACGUGCAGGCCACUGGAUAGGAGGAGUGAGUGGGAACAUGCAGGCCACUGGAUAGGAGGAGUGAGUGGGAACAUGCAGGCCACUGGAUAGGAGGAGUGAUGGGAACAUGCAGGCCACUGGAUAGGAGGAGUGAUGGGAACAUGCAGGCCAUCUGAUAGGAGGAGUGAUGGGAACAUGCAGGCGACUGGAUAGGAGGAGUGAGUGGGAACAUGCAGGCCACUGGAUAGGAGGAGUGAGUGGGAACAUGCAGGCCACUGGAUAGGAGGAGUGAGUGGGAACAUGCAGGCCACUGGAUAGGAG